ACAUUUUAUUAUCCAGGAAAACUGAGGGGAGGAUUUUUCUGCUUUCCACCAUCGUCGACCCAUUUUCCCUGCCCCCUUUCCCUUCCCGUUCACAAUCGCCGCACCGACAGUUGUUUAUCCUCCACCUCCUCCCUCCGGAGGAAGUAAAUCUCUCGCUGGGCAGUUCAAGGGGGAGGGAUUUUCCGGACGGCCGGGCGGAAGAAGCGGCGGCUGCUCCACUUUGACCGUCAAUUGCACAGAAAAUGUCCUCGGAUUUCGAGGUUUACGAGCAGGAUUUCGGAACCCUGACAGCAGAGAUCACCAAUAAAGUGGGGAGGAUACCGAAAUUAUCUGGAGAUGACAAGAAAUGUAUGGUUGCAAAUGUGGAAAAGCAGAUGGAAGAAGCUCGGGAACUGCUUGAACAAAUGGACCUUGAGGUACGGGAGAUACCACUCCAAAGCCGUGGCUUGUUCAGCACUCGAAUGAAGAGCUACAAACAGGAAUUAGAAAAGCUUGAUAAGGACUUUAAAAGGUCACGGAUCGCCUACAGUGAUGAGGUAAACCUUCGAAAUGAGCUCCUAGGGGAUGAUGGGAAUACCUCCGAGAACCAGUUGAUAAAAUUGCGUGAAGAGAGAGCAUGCCUGUUGGAUAAUACAGAGCGGUUGGAAAGGUCAACACGGAGACUGGAGGCUGGAUACCAACUAACCGUUGAAACUGAACAAAUUGGACAGGAGAUCCUGGAGAAUCUGCAUCAUGACAAAGAAAAGAUCCAACGAGCUCGGGAAAGGCUGCGUGAAACUGAUACAAACCUUGGCAAGAGCUCCAGGAUCUUGACAGGAAUGUUGCGAAGUAACAGAGAGCCAUGAAGAAGAGAGACCCCACAAUCCAUAGUGGAUGGCUGUAUUUAAAUCACAGGGAUCAUCCAGAACCGGAUCCUCAUGUUUAUCCUGGGUGCCAUCAUUCUCCUAACCAUUGUGCUGGCCAUUUAUUUUGCUGUCACAGGCCACUGAUACGUCUCUAUUCUUCUGUGAUUAAUAACGACAAACUGCUUGUUCAGUGUAAUUAGGACAAAUUGGUCACAUGAAUCAUCUUCUUGCACUGACAGAUUCUUCUCUACUGCGCAUUGACUCCGGUGCAAGCCAGGCAAAAAUGUUUUUUUUUUGUAUCUUUGUUUGCUUAUUUCCUUUUGUUGUUGUUGAGAAGGUGACUUGGAUUUUUAGUGUAACUGAGAUUGUGAGGCGUUACUGCGUGUUCAGUGCUGGCAGAAGAAAAGAAAAGUAGAAUCAUUUUAAGUCCUGUUGUGAUGGGAUUGUAUGUUGGUGUGCUACAGACCUUUGUGUACGUGUGUACAAUCUGUCAACAGCUUGCAGGUUAUAUCUACAGAGGAUAAAUGAUGGGGAACUGUGGUUAGCUAAAAAAUAAGACAUUGAGUGACGCCCUGACAUGCACAACUCCUAGGUCCAAAGGACAAGUGGAUUGCUUAAUUCCUGACGUCACAUUGGUUUAGAUUCUAAGUACACACCUAAUUAAUGAUUAUGACACUCCCUCUCCCACAAAUGCAUCAUGUAAUAUUAUGGAAAAUGCAGGCAGCUAUUUAAAAAAAAAAUUGGAAAUAAAUCACUAAUUCAUGGGUCCUACUUUCUGUAAUAAAGUGCAAUAUAAUUAAAAGAUGCCAAGCUGCAAUUAAAAAAUUAGAAACACAAAUCAACAUUUUAAAAGCUGCUGCUGCUACAAUUUUAAAUGCUUCAUGUAAAGGCAGAAAACCUAGAGCAUGCCUGACGUCAGUUCGUAACUACACGAUGAAGAGCAUUUGAUAUUCUGUUUAAGGCAGGCUGAAUUGUCUUAUUUUGGAACUGGCUUGGUGGGGGGCUUUCUUUGCUUUUGCUUCAGAGCUGAGAGCUUCAAAGGCUGAAAUUAAUAGUGAACAAAAUUGUGCAGAUCUGACCAUCCCAUGUGGGUAGAACCCAUUGAGGUUAUCAUUAUCUUAAAUUCCACCAAUUCGACAAACCUCAUCAGAUAAUGACCUCUAUAGUUUUUUUAUUACCAUGGCAGCACAGAUUGUCUACCCACAGAAAAAAAUUGUAUUCUUCACAAUACUUUUUUUCUCUCCUUUUUUUUUUAAAACCUGUCAGAUCAUUUCAGUAUUUCAAACCUGAAGAAAACAGCCUGCCUGGAAAUGUAUUUGAAGUUGUAAUAGUGUCAAAAAGUCACGGUUGACUGACAGAUGUCAGUCCCAGUGGACCUCAUUAAAUCAUAAAAACUUGACAAGGAAAUAAUUGUGCAUCACCAACAACCUGGCUGCUGUUUAAACAUUUUAUUUUGUUUCAUUAUUAGGAUCAACUAUUUUGUUCAUUAAGAAAUUGCAUUAAACAACAGUUUUGUGGCUAAUGAUCUGUUCUGGGCUUAUGUCUGUUUUCUUUAAACAUCAGCUGCGUCAUGUGGUUUCUUUGCAGUCGUGCUAUCAUCUGGCAGAAAUCCACCACUCAGAGCUGCGGGUGCCAUUGGAAUAUAAAAUGGAUUAUUCAUUACCAACCUUCUUGUGACUUAUUUGGUUUCAUGUAGUGGUUGAGGGUUUCGCUGUCUUCCGCGGAGAAGAUGAAAACUUGUCAAAAAUAGGUUAUAUCUUAUUCUCGGGGCAACAAAAUCAGUGGGUACACACAUGCUUCAAUGUUUAAUGAAUGCAGAUUUUAACCCCUUUACAUGACUUUGACUGUGAGCUCUGCAUUGACAAAGAAACCUCACUUUAAGAAAGAACUGGUAGUUAAUUGGCAAUCGGGAAGUGUGUCAUGAUUUAUAAAUUACUGCUAACUUUAGGUUAUAUUUUCUAAUAAUGAGAUAUUUCAAAAAAUCCAUACAUAUUCAUGCACUUACAUUUCCACACGUAUUAAAAAAGAGCAGGCUUAAUUAUGUGUGAAUUUUGGCAUUAUUGUAAUGACCAUUUGCAGUUGAGUGUUUUCUGGACAUUUAUUUAUUCAAUCGAUUUUGUACAAAGAGCUAUGAAAUCUGCCUUUAUGUUUGCUUUCUCCUUGUUGUUCUACAUUAGAUGUAUGGAAUGUGUACGUUAUUUAAUAUAUCAAUUACAGUAUUACAUUCCAAAAGAA